rnacentral:rRNA from 1 species
AGCGAACGCUGGCGGCAGGCCUAACACAUGCAAGUCGAACGAAGUCUUCGGACUUAGUGGCGGACGGGUGAGUAACACGUGGGAACGUGCCUUUAGGUUCGGAAUAACUCAGGGAAACUUGUGCUAAUACCGAAUGUGCCCUUCGGGGGAAAGAUUUAUCGCCUUUAGAGCGGCCCGCGUCUGAUUAGCUAGUUGGUGAGGUAAUGGCUCACCAAGGCUACGAUCAGUAGCUGGUCUGAGAGGAUGACCAGCCACAUUGGGACUGAGACACGGCCCAAACUCCUACAGGAGGCAGCAGUGGGGAAUCUUGCGCAAUGGGCGAAAGCCUGACGCAGCCAUGCCGCGUGGAUGAUGAAGGUCUUAGGAUUGUAAAAUCCUUUCACCGGUGAAGAUAAUGACUGUAGCCGGAGAAGAAGCCCCGGCUAACAUCGUGCCAGCAGCCGCCGUAACAC